UAGGGAAUCUUCGGCAAUGGGGGGAACCCUGACCGAGCAACGCCGCGUGAGUGAAGAAGGUUUUCGGAUCGUAAAGCUCUGUUGUUAAGGAAGAACGAGUGUGAGAAUGGAAAGUUCAUACUGUGACGGUACUUAACCAGAAAGGGACGGCUAACUACGUGCCAGCAGCCGCGGUAAUACGUAGGUCCCGAGCGUUGUCCGGAUUUAUUGGGCGUAAAGCGAGCGCAGGCGGUUAGAUAAGUCUGAAGUUAAAGGCAGUGGCUCAACCAUUGUAGGCUUUGGAAACUGUUUAACUUGAGUGCAGAAGGGGAGAGUGGAAUUCCAUGUGUAGCGGUGAAAUGCGCAGAGAUAUGGAGGAACACCAGUGGCGAAGGCGACUUUCUGGUCUGUAACUGACGCUGAUGUGCGAAAGCGUGGGGAUCAAACAGG
rnacentral:rRNA from 1 species